GUAUACGACUCGAGCGACAUACUAAAACACACGCAAGAUCUGUCUUGAAAAAUGCUGUUGCCAGGGACCCUCAGAUCAUGUUACCUGAGCAUCCUCAGAUGAACCAAGCAUGCAAUCAGAGGGAGAAUGUCGCGUAUCCAGUGUUCACCUCUGAUACCCACAUCCACCCGCAAGCGAUGCCCACCUUCUCACUGACCUUCUCUGCUUGGAUCAGAGGCAGUUUUCUUAUUUCCUUGCCUCGAGAUGCUGUGUCAUACAGCAGCAGGAACAGACAGUCAGACACAAGGACUCGAGGCAAUGGCGGCGGCUGUGUAUGGGGAUUGACCCGCACCUGGGACUCAAGACGAGAUAACCGCUUUAUCAGAUUAAAGACUGCGAUUGGCAAA
rnacentral:antisense_RNA from 1 species